CCUCGAUUCUGUGUUGUGAUGUGC
rnacentral:piRNA from 1 species